UACGUAGGGUGCGAGCGUUGUCCGGAAUUAUUGGGCGUAAAGAGCUUGUAGGCGGUUUGUCGCGUCUGCCGUGAAAAUCCAGGGCUUAACCCUGGACCUGCAGUGGGUACGGGCAGACUGGAGUGCGGUAGGGGAGAUCGGAAUUCCUGGUGUAGCGGUGAAAUGCGCAGAUAUCAGGAGGAACACCAAUGGCGAAGGCAGCUCGCUGGGACGUGACUGACGCUGAGACGCGAAAGCGUGGGGAGCAAACAGG
rnacentral:rRNA from 1 species